rnacentral:lncRNA from 1 species
CGCUGUCAUUUGCUGAGUGGGAUUUUUUCAUCUCAGCAAUUCGAUUUCGGGGCACUUUUCUCUUAAGAGAUGGGGAGAAAAAGGAUGGGCGAUUGUUGCGUUCUGGGGUUGGUGGUGUGCUGAAAGAUGUGAGUCUCUCAUGCACUGGGGAGUCUGGAUUUGAAUCUUCUUCUGUUCCAUACGGUGAAGUGUCGCCAGUAGGAACUCUACUCACUGCCAUCUCUGCAUGUCCUUUCCCUUGGGGCCCUUUCAUUCGGACAAACUCCAUGUUGUUAUAUUUAUAAAAGCCAAAGGACAUCCUUUGGGCCAUCUUUG